rnacentral:rRNA from 1 species
ACGCCAUCAGGUGGAUGACUAGGCUUGAAAUGCUGAAGAAGGACGUGGCAAGCUGCGAUAUGCUCCGGCGAGUUGCAUGCAAACAUUGAACCGGAGAUUUCCUAAUGUGACUUCAUAUCCUUUAAGGAUACUUCGAAAGAAGGGGGAACGCGGGGAAUUGAAACAUCUUAGUACCCGCAGGAAAAGAAACCAAUUGGGAUGCCGUUAUUAGGGGCGACCGAAAACGGUUUAAGGGCAAACUGAAUCUGGUAUAGCAAUAUAUCAGAGAUGUGGUGUUGGCCACUUUCGUAUUCUUGAUAUUUGGGAAUCAGAAAUUUUCUGGAAAAGGGAUACCAUAGAGGGUGAAAGUCCCGUAUGAGUAACUGAACAAGAAUCUAGUGAGUCCAAGAGUAGCGUCUAUUGGAAAUUAGGCGUUAAGACGGGGGGCAUCAACCUCCAACCCUAAACACAUUUCAAGACCGAUAGCGAAUAGUACCGUGAGGGAACGUUGAAAAGAACCCUUGAUAGGGAGUUAAAAGAACCUGAAACCUGAUGGUUAUACCUCGACAGGGCACGUAAUGUGUUCUGUCGUCCGUUUCGAAUAACGUGCCAAGGAGUAUACUUUUGUGGCGAGAGUAAUCUGUUUUCACAGAGCACUCGUAGGGAAACCGAAAAGUCCGCAGCUGAUAAAGUAAGGGACUGGGUAUUAAUGUGCCCGAAGUCACAAGGGUUUGACCCGAAGCCGCACGAUCUACGCCUGGGCAAGGUGAAGCGGGGGUAAAACCUCGUGGAGGCCUGCAGAGGUUCUGUGUACAAGCGUUCUUCUGACCUGGGUGUAGGGGUAAAAAGCCAAUCGAGUGCGGGAAUAGCUGGUUCCAGUCGAAAUUGGCGGUAGUCAAGCCUUGGAGGAGGUGUCAGGCGCUGUAGAGAUACUGAUAGGGGAUUUAGGGGGAGAAAUCCCUCGGUUUUCUGUCAAACUCCGAAUGUGCCAUGAGCCUUAGAUUCCAAGAGAAGGCAAUACGGGAUAAGCUUGUAUUGCGAGAGGGGAACAACCCAGACUAUGGUUAAGGUCCCUAAAUACUGGUUAAGUGUUAAAGGGUGAAAGGUGUUUAUUGCCUAAGACAAAGAGGAGGUUGGCUUAGAAGCAGCCAUCCUUUAAAAAGUGCGUAACAGCUUACCCUUCGAGGCAAUAAGCCCUGAAGAUGGACGGGGCUAAAUCAGUUACCGAUACCAUAGACAAGCCAAAAGCUUCGUUGUAGACUGGCGUUUUGCAAGGGCAGAAGCAUCUUUGUAAGAGGGUGUGGACCUUGUUUAAAUGAGAAUCUUGGCGGUAGUAGGAUCUAAGCAGGGUGAGAGUCCCUGUCGCCGAAAGGGCUAGGGUUCCUUGACAAUGCAAAUCAGUCAAGGGUUAGUUGGUCCUAACCGGAUGCCUAACUGGCAAUCCCGGGAAAGGGAAACAGGUUAAUAUUCCUGUACUACUUAGAUAUUUGCGGUAACGAAAGGUAAAUUUCUGACUCUUCAGGGUAGGUCUAGUCAAGCCGUCGCUUGAUUCAAGAACAACAUGUUUUUCGAGUAUCGUAACGAUGAGAAAAAAACUAAAUGUUCGAUGAGCAGCUUAUGGUUGUUAGGCUGAGCCCAGGAGACAGUGAAAAGGGAAUUUACAUAGAUUCUAAGUAACCAUACCGAGAACCGACACAGGUGCCCCUGGGUGAGUAGCCCAAGGCGUGAGGGAUAUAAUCUAAUCGAGGGAAUUCGGCAAAUUGGCCCCGUAACUUAGGGAUAAGGGGUCCCUGUGAUUGUUUUCUUAAGAAUGCGAUUUCAGGGCUCAGUGACUAGGGGGGUCCGACUGUUUAACAAAAACAUAGCUAACUGCUAAUUCGAAAGGAUUUGUAUAGUUGGUGAAGUCUGCCCAGUGCCAGUACUUCAAACUUCGGUUCAACGGAGCUAAGAGCUGGUAAACGGCGGGAGUAACUAUAACUCUCUUAAGGUAGCGUAAUACCUUGUCGUUUAAAUGGCGACUUGCAUGAAUGGCGUAACGAGGCCCCCACUGUCCCCGGUUAGAAUCCCCUGAACUCUCUUUACUGGUGUAAAGGCCAGUGUCUUCCAGUGGGACGUGAAGACCCCGUGAAACUUUACUGUAGUCUGUGGCUGUGGAGUGAGUUUUGAUGUGCAGGCUAGGUGGGAGUUGCUAAAGCUUGGUCGCUAGGUCAAGUGUAGACAAAAGUUGAGAAACCACCCUUCAGAGCUUACCCCACUAACUAGAGAAAUCUAAGACACCCAUUGAUAGACAGUUUGACUGGGGUGGUCCUCCGCUGAAAAGGUAUCAGUGGAGCCCAAAGGUUGGCUCAUUCGGGUUGGAAAUCCGAAGUUGAGUGCAAGAGCAUAAGCCAGCUUGACUGGAUCCCGAACAUGAACGGAUCCAGAGACGAAAGUCUGGUCUAGCGAACCUCUAUAUCUCCUUGAUGGGGGAUAGAGAUGACCGAAAAGUUACUCCGGGGAUAACAGAGUUGUCUAGCCCGAGAGUUCAUAUCGACGGCUAGGCUUGCUACAUCGCUGUCGGCUCUUCCUAUCCUGGUCGUGCAGAAGCGACCAAGGGUGGGGGUGUUCACCCAUUAAAAGGGAUCGUUAGCUGGGUUCACAACGCUGUGAGGCAGUUGGUUUAAUAUCUACUGGAAGUGCGAAAUAGUCUGAUAGGAAGGAUCCUCUAGUACGAAAGGAACGGGGAACCGAGGCCUCUGGUCUACCGGUUGUCUGACAAGGCACGCCGGGCAGCUACGCCUUAAGGGAUAAGUACUGAAAGCAUCUAAGUACGAAGCCCACCUAGAAAAGAGACUUAGGACACGGGAAGAAGACCCGUUUGAUGGAGUCGGUGUGUAAGUGUCAAGCUCACGCGAGACAUUCAGCAUGCGACCACCAAUAGUCUAUUCUGGAUUUA